rnacentral:rRNA from 1 species
AUUGAACGCUGGCGGCAGGCCUAACACAUGCAAGUCGAACGAGAGGCGGACGGGUGAGUAAUGCCGGGGAAACUAGCUUACGGAGGGGGAUAACUACGGGAAACGGUAGCUAAUACCGCGUACCUUAGUAUGUGCCCAGGUGGGAUUAGCUAGUAGGUGGGGUAUAGGCUCACCAAGCCGACGAUCUCUAGCUGGUCUGAGAGGAUGACCAGCCAGACUGGGACUGAGACACGGCCCAGACGCCUACGGGAGGCAGUAGUGGGGAAGAUUGUGCAAUGGGGGCAAGCCUGACGCAGCCAUGCCGCGUGAAUGAAGAGGGCCUUCGGGUUGUAAAGUUCUUUCGGUAGCGAGGCGUUAACUACAGAAGAAGCACCGGCUAACUCCGUGCCAGCAGCCGCGCUAAUAC